ACAUAUUCUCGAGAUUAAGCCAUAAUUUCAUCAUUCUAAGAUCUACAAAUAAAUGCUAAACUCACAAAAAUAAACUAAUUUCGAACUUACCAACUUCAUUCUUGAACAACCCAUCCAUAUGACAUCCUUAACUUUCUAGCUUCAAUAAUCAUCAUCAAAGACUUACACUCUCAUUUGCAACCAUACCUACAUCUCUAAUCACAUAAUCAUAGCCUACCAAGAUCACACUUCUAUACCUAUAUUUUUCCCAAACCAUGAGAACAAAAUCAUACUAAAAAGACUCAACAUCUUCAAUCAUAACUCUUUAACUUAGCUAUCAAGAAC
rnacentral:lncRNA from 1 species